GACGAACGCUGGCGGCGUGCUUAACACAUGCAAGUCGAACGAAGUGGCGAACGGGUGAGUAAUACGUGGGUAACCUGCCCUCCUUUUUGGGAUAAGCCUUGGAAACGGGGUCUAAUACCGAAUAAAGGGGGAUGGGCUCGCGGCCUAUCAGCUUGUUGGUGGGGUGAGGGCCUACCAAGGCGGUGACGGGUAGCCGGCCUGAGCGGGUGACCGGACACAUGGGGACGGAGAUACGGCCCAGACUCCUAAGGGAGGCAGCAGUGGGUGAGAUGGCACAAUGGGCGAAAGCCGGAUGCAGCGUGGAUGCGUGGGGGAUGAAGGUUUUAGGGUAUUAAAACGCUUUCGAGAUCCAACGGGUAGGUGGAGAAGAAGCGCCGGCUAACUACGUGCCAGCAGCCGCGGUAAUUC
rnacentral:rRNA from 1 species